UGUAACAAUAUCAUUGAAUUAUCACAAAACAUGUACUGUACACAAUCAGAUUUUACUUUUAAUCAAUGUGUGACCUUUUGAGCACUGAGUCAGGGUUUUUACAGCAUAGAGAAUUUGGAUGUGGCUGCCUCAACCACAUUUUUUGCCACCUACGACUGUCAACAGAUGGAAAACAUGAACAAUCAUUGUACUCAGUAGAUUAUCAUUUGUAUCUGUAGUUGCACUUUUGUCACUUUUGUGGCACUGUUUAGUUAUUAAGGGGCUAUAUUAGGAGCUAUGGUACUAUAUUUAGUGGAUAUUUUGCAGGUGAAUCUGCAGACACCUGCUGAUUAUUACAGUAGUUUCCUACAUUACAUUUUUCAUUGUCUACAAUUAUAAUCUCUCACAACAUGUGACCAGUAAUGACUCGAAAACCAAUUAUACUUUUAAAAACUGAUUAUUUUUUGAGAAUAAUUUAAACAAUUUAGUCACAAAGUAAAUCAAUCGGAGGUCAGUGAAUCAGCUGGAGAUUAAUGAGUGAACCACAGAGCGGAUAGAACUUUUCUUUGCAUUUCAUAAGACUAAAGUAAGUGAGAAUGAGUGCAAUCAAUGCACAUUUUAGAUGAAUUGUCAACAAGUUACAAGUAAUUUACAAAAUCAUGAGAUGAUGCAUUCAUAUAAAAUCAAUAAUAAAGACCAUAGCUGCUAGUGUAACUCAAUUUGGCUGUAGUGGACUAAAAUAGGUAAAAGGAGAGGGAAAAUAUUUAAUGUAAUGGCUUCAUAUGAUUUAUUAUUAUAUGUCACUAUGAUUAAUAGAUCAAGCAAAAAAUGACAGAACUAGUUAUUAUAUUAAGCAAAGAAGCAAUGCACUAAAAAGAGUUUCCUUUGCCAAGGGUGGAGGAAAGGAUGACAGCUAGAGUGACAGAUGAGGCCUAUGAAUGUGCACUCUCAGAAAUAAAGGUACAAAUCUGUACCUUUUCUGUCACUGGGGCUGUACCCUUUCAAAAUGUACAGCUUUGCAACUAAGAAUAUCAUUUUAGUAUCUCAGAGGUACAUACUGCACUCUAAAAAACAUUGGAUUGUUUUUUCAACCCAACUGCUGGGUUGAGCCAGUUGGGUUAUUUUGUUGGGUUGUUUUAUCAGUGUUGGGUAGUUUUUGUGUAACCCAACUUGUUGGGUUAUAUGUUGGGUAAUUUUGAAGCAGAGCCAACUUAAUAGAUACAUAUAGCUGUUUCUCAAUAUUACUUUCUCUAGUCCACAAAAUGUACUUUAAACAUAAGUUCAGGCGAGAAUAUAUAUGUAUAAUGUUCAAAUUUGCAGUCGGUUUGUAAAGUGAACGCCAAUUUUAAAGUUUAAUUACACAAAGUCGGAAUGUUACCGGCGCGACCACCGGGUGUCAGUGUUGUUCUUCCCCAGAGAGAACUCAUCCCUUCCCCCACACAGACGCGUCAGACUCUGACUUUUGCCACAGCAACAACGCUACCUGACGCGGGAAUUUACUCACCUCAGAAUUCAUGAACGGUUUUUCAUCGACUUAUCUUUGAUUUAUUUGAAGGAAAAGACCCUGAUGGAUAAAAGAUGGAUAUUUUUUCCUGGAGAAGCUAAAACAAUGUAACUUUGAGGUUCUGAUACCAGCUUUUACAAAGUUAUUUACAGAGUUCACAAGACUUCUCUGUGUUAUUUCCUGACCAUGCCGAAAAGCUAUUUGAAACUUGGGCAUUGCAUUUUACAGACAGAAUCCUGCAACUUCCCAGCCAAGAACCAGGAGCAUCAACAAAUCAGGUUGGGACCAACAUGGUUGCAUUCUUCUGAGAGGCUGAGGUGACAAAACCAUUCCCAUUUGUUCUUGGAUUGGAAGAUGGCGAUCUCUGCCAUCAAGCCUUCAUUGUUUUUGACAGACAGUCACUCCAGCAAUACACCCUCCUUGUAGCCUAGAAAUCUAGACGCACCCUAGCGGCCGCAAAAUAUAUUUGUUGCCAGGGUUUAGUCUAGGCACUCACAAUACACUUAACAGCUCCAAAAACCAAAAUUUGGUCAGGCCAAUCACAUCGUGUGUAGCGUCUGUGGGGCGGGCUUAACAUGAUGACGACAGAGCUGCAACGGUUCCUACUUGAAAACAAAGAAUGGCUGCUGCUGCUGGCGAACAGCUUUCUUUUGAAGCGGCUUUGGCCGCGACUCUGGAGGACUUAGACUUAUGUUUUUCUUUGAGAGAAGAGCAAAUAACCCUACUGAAGUCCUUUUUAAGCAAGAAAGAUGUGCUUGGAGUUUUGCCGACUGGUUACGGUAACUACGUCACCUUCUUCGUUGCUCUGAUUGGUCAUAGCGCUAUCCUAUUGCGUGCAGAGGCAUUUUGAGGGACAACCUUAUAUCCCGCCCCUUGCAUUGAGCCGUUUGUGUGAAGAGUUGCCAGACCUUACAUCUUGAUGUAGGUCUGGCUAACCAGGCUACCCUCCUUGGUGAUGUUGACAUGUUUUAAACUUUUUUUAUGUUUUGGACAUUAAUUUUACUAAGCAGUGCACAUCAGUGUGGGUGUUUUUGAAGACUGUUGUUUACAAACUCCCAAGAACGGAAUCCCUUUCUAUAAGAAGUCUGUGUAGUUAUUUGUCAUGCUAAGGUGAUAACUCAUGUUGAUCAUAUAUUGACUGUUUGUGCAACUUUGUGUUGAUCUUAUGUGUUACAUUAACAAUUUCUUAUUACACGGUUCUCUAAAAUGCUAGAUUCUGAUUGGGCAGUCGUGACAUUCUACUACUGCUCAAAACUAAAAACUCCAAUGCUGCAAAUAAUUUUGACAGGUACAGUUUUAUAUUACACAAACAUUAACUAUCAAUGUCUAUUAAUUACAUAUCCGACAUUAAAUUUACAAAUGAUUAAACCAAUGUGUUCGUGACAUUUGUCCUGAAGAAACUGUCAGGGCUUUUUUCUGUGAUGACAUGCUGCCAAUACAUUAUCCCUUACUUGUACAACUUUUUACUUGAUCUAAUUGUAAUGUUAACUGGGUAUCUGUCAUUUUAGAUUGUGAGAUAUAAUAUCAAUAUAUUUUUUUAUCAGAAAGUUGAUUGUUUGUG